GUUUCAUUUUCCAUUCAUCCCAGCUCAUUGUUCGAAAUUCAGAUUUACAAGAGUGAGUUUGGAGUUAUGUUAUAAAGUGAUUAGUUUUGAAUAAAUGAAAAUGAUUUGUAGGUUUCAUAUCCACAUCGUACUUACUCAAAAAUACAUCUGAAAAGUAUUGAAGAAGAUCCAAACUUGGGAUCCUUUAGUUCAAUAAAGAUUUGUUUGAUUUGCCCUGUUCUCAAGCCACAAACCUAUUUUUCAAUCAAUUAAAUAUAAGGACACGAAGAAGACAAUUAUGACUACAAAUAAAUAAAAACUGUCAUGAAAGAUCAUCUGCUUCUUCCGUGCAUGCAUAAUGAAGAAACUGAUCGUCUACAUUCAAGCACCAUUAAUAAGAAGUCGACGGAAAAAGGCGUCUGCUCGAAGGAUAGGACUUCAUAAUCGGGGUGCUUUCGCAAAGCGCCAGACCUUGGAGGCUGGUUGUAGGUCGGCUUGGAAGAAUUGGCCACGGAGAACUCAAAGGAUGGAGCUGGUUGCUUAGCAAGAAGAACCUGCUGAAGGCCUCUCAACAUCUUAAGGAAUUGUGUACACAGUGUGCCCUUAUGUAUCCGUCUUCGGUGCCCUGCAACCUUAGGGCUUGCCUGGUCAGUCUGGAGCCAGAUACCAACUCGAGGUGAGUUUGUCAUAGAGAACAUUAGAAAUUUUAAAAUUUGGUUUAGGUAAUUCUAAAAAUAUUUUUUGUGAGGUAAUAUAAAUAACUUAAUAUCUCCCAUUUUUUAUGGAUGAAUGAGAUGUCACUUUGACAUGUUAUACAUAUAUGUUGAACUCAUGGAAGAAUAUCAAUGCCUUCUGCACUUGUAUUAUAAAAAAUAUUUGCAUUCAAAAUAAACUUAAAUCCAUGCGCAUUUCUAAGACAUACUGUGAAGCUCUGAUAUAUACAUAAAAAAAGACAUUUAAUCAGAAAUUGGUUACCACAAAUAUCCGCUUUAUCUUGGUGAACAAAUUUUUUAUUAUCCCCGUAUCACAUUAGGCCUUCUUUGUGUCCAUUUCUGAAUGAGCAUGCCUAUUCUUGACAAU